GAAACUAAGGGUGCCACAGAAGGCCGGUUCAGACUGGUACCAAGAGCAUGGGGGAUGAGGGUCCCUGGAUGAAAAUGCCCCUGGAAGAACUCAGGGCUUAAAACCCUCCCGAGAGCUGAAGCAAGUCGAAGAUUUACAGCGGACUCUAGACGACCUGUGCGCAGGGCAGAACUCUCAUCUACCCUUCCCCCCACACCUUCUUCUUACAUUACACCCAGGCUUGGCCAGCCUUGGGUUGUGCAUGAGUUAAAGCUCUGCCCAGAUAGAUGCCUAUAUCACUGAGCUAUGUGAGGGGCCAGCUGCGGCAGUGGAGACUUCCUGCAGAGGCUGCACCAGACCUAAGAUAUCUGGAGAUGAUUUUGAACAGCGCUUCCUUAGCUCUCGUCCCCUAACGCCCCUACUCUACUUG